CCUACGGGGCGCACCAGUGGGGAAUAUUGGACAAUGGGCGAAAGCCUGAUCCAGCGAUGCCGCGUGUGUGAAGAAGGUCUUCGGAUUGUAAAGCGCUUUCUACGGGGACGAUGAUGACGGUACCCGUAGAAGAAGCCCCGGCUAACUUCGUGCCAGCAGCCGCGGUAAUACGAAGGGGGCUAGCGUUGCUCGGAAUGACUGGGCGUAAAGGGCGCGUAGGCGGUUUAUGCAGUCAGAUGUGAAAUCCCCGGGCUUAACCUGGGAACUGCAUUUGAGACGCAUAGACUAGAGGUCGAGAGAGGGUUGUGGAAUUCCCAGUGUAGAGGUGAAAUUCGUAGAUAUUGGGAAGAACACCGGUGGCGAAGGCGGCAACCUGGCUCGAUACUGACGCUGAGGCGCGAAAGCGUGGGGAGCAAACAGGAUUAGAUACCCCAGUAGUC
rnacentral:rRNA from 1 species